rnacentral:lncRNA from 1 species
AUGAUGAGUGCAACUAAAUUGUUCAUGGAUUUGUUGGGAAAAUAUGGUAAAGAUGAUGCUGUGAAAGUGAUGCACCCAAUAUGCCAGCAAAUUUGGAAAACUCAGCAGUGGCCACAGGACCAGAAAAGGUCCGUUUUCAUUCCAAUCCCAAAGAAAGGCAAUGCCAAAGAAUGCUCAAACUACCGUACAAUUGCACUCAUCUCACAUGCUAGUAACAUGAUGCUCAAAAUUCUCCAAGCCAGGCUUCAGCAAUACGUGAACCGUGAACUUCCAGAUGUUCAAGCUGGUUUUAGAAAAGGCAGAGGAACCAGAGAUCAAAUUGCCAAUAUCCGCUGGAUCAUGGAAAAAGCAAGAGAGCUCCAGAAAAACAUCUAUUUCUGCUUUAUUGACUAUGCCAAAGCCUUUGACUGUGUGGAUCACAAUAAACUGUGGACAAUUCUGAGAGAGAUGGGAAUACCAGACCACUUGACCUGCCUCUUGAGAAAUCUGUAUGCAGGUCAGGAAGCAACAGUUAGAACUGGACAUGGAACAACAGACUGGUUCCAAACAGGAAAAGGAGUACAUCAAGGCUGUAUAUUGUCAUCCUGCUUAUUUAACUUCUAUGCAGAGUACAUCAUGAGAAACGCUGGGGUGGAAGAAGCACAAGCUGGAAUCAAGAUUGCCAGGAGAAAUAUUGAUAACCUCAGAUAUGCAGAUGACACCACCCUUAUGGCAGAAAGUGAAGAGGAACUAAAAAGCCUCUUGAUGAAAGUGAAAAAGGAGAGUGAAAAAGUUGGCUUAAAGCUCAACAUUCAGAAAACGAAGAUCGUGGCAUCUGGUCCCAUCACUUCAUGGGAAAUAGAUGGGAAAACAGUGGAAACAGUGUCAGAUUUUAUAUUUUGGGGCUUCAAAAUCACUGCAGAUGGUGACUGCAGCCAUGAAAUUAAAAAACGCUUACUCCUUGGAAGGAAAGUUAUGACCAACCUAGAUAGCAUAUUCAAAAACAGAGACAUUACUUUGCCAACAAAGGUCCAUCUAGUCAAGGCUGUGGUUUUUCCAGUGGUCAUGUAUGGAUGUGAGAGUUGGACUGUGAAGAAAGCUGACUGCCGAAGAAUUGAUGCUUUUGAACUGUAG